UGCUACCAUUGCCUCGAGAUUAAUGGUAGUGAAUCAGAUGAAGUGUUGCUAGUGUACUAUCCUAAGAUUUCUUUUAGGGACGAGUUCCACUCCAAUCAUUAUAUGCACCUUCAGGCUUCAUUUGAUGAUUUUGUUUGGGGCGAAAUCAAAAGUUGUGGGGUUCAUCUUAUAUACUCUCAAGACCAUCAACAGAACCAUAUCUCGUUGGUAGAUUUUCUUGGCACCCAAGAUGAUGAAGACAACCAUAAGCCUAUGUUGUUGAAUAUUGAGAAUUUUGGUGACAACAGAUCAACAACAAAAUCUAUCAAGAGAAGUCGUGAUGGCGCAGAACAUAACCAAGCAGAGGAACCACACCAUCUCAAGCUUUAAACUCAAACACCAACCAGCAGGACUCCCCUGAGACGGAUUCUGUCAUUUCUCAAUCUAGAAUUUUCCUUCAAGUCCUGGAUUUGAAGAAGAAUUUGAGCCACAUUUGCCAUGGAAGAAAAGUGGUUGCUACCGUAUAAGAUCCCCUGUAGCUGCUGCCAUAUAUGCACCAGUGGCGGGCCUUCACCGCUACAAUAACAUCACUAUAUAUAGACCAGUGCCUCCCGCUCACCCCCACUGCAAAACCCAUUCACGGUGUUGAUGCCAUUCCCAUUCCCUUCCUCUAACAAUGAGCAGUAUUCAGACGAAAAGAAAUUUUGCAGUGGUCAAUAAUGAAGAUUAUUGGAGUGUGGAUGAAGAGUCUUGCUUGAGAUCCCUUCUGGACAUAUAUAUAGAAGAUCUUCACCUGGACAUAUAUACAAAGGACUACUAGUUCUUAUUAGUCUCAAGUCAUUGAUUGAUCUGUAAGUCUUUCAAUCUUUAACUUCUCAUAGUUCUACAUUUUGGAC